rnacentral:rRNA from 1 species
CCGGAUUUACUGGGCGUAAAGGGUGAGUAGGCGGUUGUAUAUGUCAGAUGUAAAAGGCACAGGCUUAACUUGUGUAAGCAUUUGAAACUGUACAACUUGAGUGCAGGAGAGGUAAGUGGAAUUCCUAGUGUAGCGGUGAAAUGCGUAGAUAUUAGGAGGAACACCAGUGGCGAAGGCGACUUACUGGACUGUAACUGACGCUGAGUCACGAAAGCGUGGGUAGCAAACAGGAUUAGAUACCCCCGUAGUCAGGCUAUAACGAAU